AAUGAAUUCUCAGUCCCAAAACCAAAGUAUCGGGGAGAUCUCUCAAAUGAUUGUAAGUGGUAGAGUUGUUCAUCCAGAGUUUGAGAUUACUGGCCAUGGAGGUGAUGAUUCGAACAUAGAAGAUGUAGAGAAUGGAGCUAGUGAACAAAUUAAUCAAGUGCACCAACUCCCUGCUAUUGAUUAAAACACAAGUACUGCAAAUCAGGGAAUAUUGAAGGUGCAUGGAGCAAGAAUGGAGUAGCAGCAGAUGAGGAGCAAUCUGAAGCAUUGGCCGCCUACGAAGAAAUUAAGUGGGAAAGGAAUUCCAAUAUUCAGCAUUUGCACCUAGAGGGUGAUUCUCUUAAUGUAGUGAAGGCAAUAAAUGGUGUAAUAGGCACUGUAGGAUGGACUAAUAAUGCCAUCAUUCUAUAACUGUUUAAUUUCCUCAAGUCUUUUGUUAGUUGGGAGUGCACACAUGUAGUGAAGGCAAUAAAUGGUGUAAUAAGCACUGUAUGAUAGACUAAUAAUGCCAUCAUUAUAUAACUGUUUAAUUUCCUCAA